AUAAAACCGAAGAAUUCUUAAUGUAAGUGAAUAAACCUUGACCCCCUAAAAAUUCUCUUCAACCA
rnacentral:tRNA from 1 species